UGUCCAGGGAUGGGAAACGAACCCACAGUGUUCCCCUUACCAGGCAGAUGCCAUGUCCACUAGGUUUCCCAUUCCUGGAC
rnacentral:tRNA from 1 species